CGGAGGGAGUAUUAAUUUCAGGGAACUUAAUUUUAUACCCGCUUGCUUCGCUAGGAUAGCACUGAUUUUGUCUUUAUUUGAGAUCAUUAGGUGGUUAGUUCUAGACAGUGGCCCCGCUCUUCAAGCUAUCGAGCAGUUGUUUGUUCUCAGGAUAAUUUGCUGCGGACAGUUAUAAAUUGUUUGUAUUUACCAGUAGACAUUGGUACAGAUGACGGUAUUUUCAGGCAGUUUCUAACUAAAAUUCUCUACAAGUAUAAAGAAUGCCCUCUCUCUGUUGCUUAAGAAGUUUGUCCUGUUCUUUCAGGGAGCUGUUGCUGGACUUUUAUUUUAGUUCUAAAGCUCGGGAACCUAAAGAUAUUGUAGUUUUCAGGGAUGGCGAGUUGAUCAACGAUGAUGGCAUACAAGAUGAGCUUGAUGCAAUGAAGAAGGUUUGAAUGUGCAGCUUAGUUUUUCAAUGAGACCUAUUCUUUCUCUGAUCACCAAAUGUGAAACAUAUUGUCUAUAGGCCUGCCAACAUUUGGAGCAUAGUAAUGGAUGGAUUCCAUGUUUCACAGUCAUUAUUGCACGAAAGAACCACCACACUAAGUUUUUCCUCUACAACUCAGUGGACAAUGUUGCUCUAGGGACUGUGGUUGACAGUACAAUUUGCCAUCCAACUAAGAAUGACUUCUUCAUGUGUGCUCAUGCUGUGCCUACUGGAAUAGCACGACCCAGACACUACGAAGUUUAUUGUGAUGAAAUUGGAUAUUCAACAGAUGAGAUGCAAGAACUGGUCCAUUCACUGUCUUAAGUGUCUCAAAGAAGUACCACAGCCAUCUCUGAUGUUGCACCAAUACGUCAUGCCCAGUUAGCAGCAAAACAGAUGUCACAGCUUCGCAAAGCUGAAAAUGCUGAUUAUGUGCCUCUGCUACACGGGAAAGCGCGCAGUU